CUUCGCCUCUGGCCCCUGCACCCCCCCGCUGCGCCGUGGCUCGGUGAGGGCAGCACACGGCGUGCCUUGUGUUGUGCAAUUAACCACUGCUCGGUGGAACAAUAACGAUCCUCGUUAAUGAGCGCGGCACUGGGCAGUCAGGGCACGGCACCCCGCACAGGGCAGUCGUGCAGCAGGAGCAAACCCACAGAGCGAUGCUGGAAGUCACGAGCUGGGGCCGCAGCCCUUUGCUUGCUGUCUUUGCACCGAAGCUGCUGGGGGGGCUGUGCCUUGUGCAGCCACUUUGGGGACAGAAGGGACCAGCACAGCCUUGCUGGGCACGAUGCUGGGGCAGGCGAGAGUCCCCCGGCGAGGCUGGUGGAGACAGCACGUCGGUCACUCCCUGGCACACAGGGGUAGCCUGCAGUUCACCGUUUCUCCAUUACUCACAGCCAAAAUAACUGCUGCAGACACGGGGACACCGUCCCCGAGGCUCUGAGGCAGGAGGGGGACAGGGGGUUAUGUCAGAAGCUGACUGAGGUCUGUGCAGGGCUCUGCACCCUGGCCAGCCUCGGGUUUGCCCCCCGAGCAGAGACGUUGGUGCGUUGGGGUCGUGUUGUUGGUGCAGUGGGGUCGCGCUGCCCGGCACGCAGAGCCCAAACCGCGCGGCGCAGGGGGCCGGGGCUCCGCUUCCUGCUGCAGGGACGCGGCUGGCUACCACGCUCGUGCUGCGCUGCUGCGGGCGCAGGCACGCGGGAGCAUUUUUCAAAACCAGCCUUUGGAUGCUCGCCGUGGGUUUGGGGCCGGGUUGUUAACGUACGAGACGCGUGCCGCUGGGUGGGAGCGCGCGCUGCUGGCGCUUCCCUCCCCCCCCCCCGAGAGGCACCGUGCAGCAGCACCACGGGGCCACGCGCGCCCCGAUGGCUUGGCAGGCGGCCCUGGGGUGCGGGGUGGGGGUCCCCAGGAGCCCCCACCCGUGGGGUACCCCAGGGAGCUUUGCCUCUGAGGUUGCCCUGUGCUUACAGUGGUGCCCUGGUGGACCCCCAUGCCUGGGGGGGGUCCCCAUUCAUCCUAAGGGGACCCUGGGGACCCCAACCAACCCCCUGGGACCUCGGGACCUGCACUGCUGAGGAUACCCCAGAGACCCUCACCUCCAAGGCUGCCCCAGGGGACCCACACCUGCAGGGACCCCCGGGGGACCUGCAGUGCCCAGGGGGACCCUCACCCUUAGGCAUCUCCCAGGCCCCCCCAACCCUUGUGACACCACGGGGGACCCUCACCCAUGGGGGUACCCCUGUUCUUGGGGACACCACCAGCUCCCUGACCCAUAGGGACACUCGGGGGUGUUAGGGGGGGCACCCCAAAGACC
rnacentral:lncRNA from 1 species